rnacentral:rRNA from 1 species
AGCAGUAGCCGCGGUAAUCCGUAGGUGGCAAGCGUUGUCCGGAAUUAUUGGGCGUAAAGGGCUCGCAGGCGGUUUCUUAAGUCUGAUGUGAAAGCCCCCGGCUCAACCGGGGAGGGUCAUUGGAAACUGGGAAACCUGAGUGCAGAAGAGGAGAGUGGAACUCCACGUGUAGCGGUGAAAUGCGUAGAGAUGUGGAGGAACACCAGUGGCGAAGGCGACUCUCUGGUCUGUAACUGACGCUGAGGAGCGAAAGCGUGGGGAGCGAACAGGAUUAGAUACCCCGGUAGUCCCUGUCUCUUAUAA